rnacentral:rRNA from 1 species
UCUCCGUUGGUGAACCAGCGGAGGGAUCAUUACAGAGUUCUAAAAGACUCCCAAACCAUUGUGAACAUACCCGUCAGCGUUGCUUCGGCGGGCGUCCCCUCCCUGGGGACGCUGCCCUUCGGGGUGCCCGCCGGUGCUUACGAAACUCUUUUGUAUUUUAGUGGCCUCUCUGAGAAAACAAACAAAUAAGUUAAAACUUUCAACAACGGAUCUCUUGGUUCUGGCAUCGAUGAAGAACGCAGCGAAAUGCGAUAAGUAAUGUGAAUUGCAGAAUUCAGUGAAUCAUCGAAUCUUUGAACGCACAUUGCGCCCGCCAGUAUUCUGGCGGGCAUGCCUGUUCGAGCGUCAUUUCAACCCUCAAGCCCUGCUUGGUGUUGGGGUCCUACGGCUGCCGUAGGCCCUGAAAGCUAGUGGCGGGCUCGCUACAACUCCGAGCGCAGUAAUGUAUCUCGCUAGGGAAGUGUUGCGGGUUCCGGCCGUUAAACCCCCCAAUUUUACAAGGUUGACCUCGGAUCAGGUAGGAAUACCCGCUGAACUUAAGCAUAUCAAUAAGCGG